rnacentral:rRNA from 1 species
UCUUGUAAUUGGAAUGAGUACAAUUUAAAUCCCUUAACGAGGAACAAUUGGAGGGCAAGUCUGGUGCCAGCAGCCGCGGUAAUUCCAGCUCCAAUAGCGUAUAUUAAAGUUGUUGUGGUUAAAAAGCUCGUAGUUGAACCUUGGGCCUGGCUGGCCGGUCCCCCUCACCGGGUGCACUGGUCCGGCCGGGCCUUUCCCUCUGUGGAACCGCAUGCCCUUCACUGGGUGUGCCGGGGAAACAGGACUUUUACUUUGAAAAAAUUAGAGUGCUCCAGGCAGGCCUAUGCUCGAAUACAUUAGCAUGGAAUAAUAGAAUAGGACGUGUGGUUCUAUUUUGUUGGUUUCUAGGACCGCCGUAAUGAUUAAUAGGGACAGUCGGGGGCAUCAGUAUUCAAUUGUCAGAGGUGAAAUUCUUGGAUCUAUUGAAGACUAACUACUGCGAAAGCAUUUGCCAAGGAUGUUUUCAUUGAUAAGGAACGAAAGUUAGGGGAUCGAAGACGAUCAGAUACCGUCGUAGUCUUAACUAUAAACUAUGCCGACUAGGGAUCGGACGGUGUUUAUACUUGACCCGUUCGGCACCUUUCGAGAAAUCAAAGUGCUUGGGCUCCAGGGGGAGUAUGGUCGCAAGGCUGAAACUUAAAGAAAUUGACGGAAGGGCACCACCAGGGGUAAACUGAAGCCGUAUCGCUCUGCCCCGAAAAGCGAGCCCGUAACGGGUUCGGUGGUUGCCGGCACUCGCUAGUCGCCGCGUCCAGCGCGGCGGCGACACCCUCAACGUGCGGGGAACCCUCGAAGGGCACCACUCCUAAGUAGCGGUCGAAAGACGCGCUAUGGCGGCGGCGUAAUGGCCGCCGGUACAGGGAAAACGUGGUGCUUAGGAGGCGAUUCGCAGCCAAGCUCCUACCCGCCCCCCCGGGGGGCGCAGGGAGAAAGGUCCAG